GUGGACAGUAUUAUCUUCACCUACCGAAGCCUUGUUUCCUCAGUCUUGUCAUUGCCAUUGCUUUCACGUAAGGGUGUAUGGUGUAGGCUAGGCUUGUAUGGUGCUGGAAAACCCUUUCAGUCAUUAUUGAAGGGUUAAUCAGCAGCCAUCAAUUCCUCGAAGAAUUAAUGGUUCACAGAUCAAACACAAGUCGUCUCUACUUUGUUUUCAAAGUCAUGAGAUUAAGAUAUGACCGGAGGCCGAGGAGCUCUCCUCGGCGUUACUUGCUCCGUAGGUGAACCUGCGGAGGGAUCAUUAACGAGAUAGGGUCUUCCAGGCCCGAACCUCCCACCCUUUGUGUACCUUCUAUGUUGCUUUGGCGGGCCCGCGGGGGCUCCCCCCCCCGCCGGCUUCGGUUGGCGAGUGUCCGUCAAAGGCCCCCCUAAAUUCUAAUUGUUAGUGAUGUCUGANAACUAUWUCAUAGUUAAAAAACUUUCAACAACGGAUCUCUUGGUUCUGGCAUCGAUGAAGAACGCAGCGAAAUGCGAUAAGUAAUGCGAAUUGCAGAAUUCAGUGAAUCAUCGAAUCUUUGAACGCACAUUGCGCCCUCUGGUAUUCCGGGGGGCAUGCCUGUUCGAGCGUCAUUACACCUCUCAAGCUUGGCUUGGUCGUGGGCUUUCGUCCCCCCGGGACGUGCCCAAAAAUUAGCGGCGGUGCGGCCUGACUUCAAGCGUAGUAACUUCAAACCCGCUUUAGAAGCUUCAGGCUGGGCUCGCCAGACGUCCGUCUAAAAUACUUUCAAUGGUUGACCUCGGAUCAGGUAGGGAUACCCGCUGAACUUAAGCAUAUCAAUAAGCGGAGGAAA
rnacentral:rRNA from 1 species